rnacentral:rRNA from 1 species
UCAAGCUAGUAAGGGCGUGUGGGGGAUGUCUGGGCACUAGAAGGCGAUAAAGGGCGUGGAAGACUGCGAAAAGCCUGGUGGAUGUGUCAAACAACAAUUGAUACCAGGAUACCCGAUGCGAACGCAGGGAACUGAAACAUCUCAUUACCUGUAGGAAAAGAAAGCAAACGCGACUUCCUCAGUAGCGGCGAGCGAACGGGAAUCAGCCCAAACCAUUGAGACUCGUCUCAGUGGGGUUGUAGGACCGCUAUCACGAUCAUCAGUAGUCUAAUUGAACGAUGUGGAAUCAUCGGCCAUAGAGGGUGAAAGCCCCGUAAAUGACAGGCGAAAGCGAUCAGGCGGCACCUGAGUAGGACGGAGCACGUGAAACUCCGUCUGAAUCUGCGGGGACCAUCCCGCAAGGCUAAGUACUCUCUAGUGACCGAUAGUGAACAAGUAGCGCGAGCGAAAGAUGGAAAGAACCCCGAAAGGGUAGGUAUUGAACCUGAAACCACAUGCCUACAAGCGGUCAGAGGGCUAUGUCGAGCAAUCGAAAUGCCUGAUGGCGUGCCUUUUGCAUAAUGAUCCGGCGACUUAUCGUAUCUGGCAAGGUUAAGUGGCUCUGCCACGCAGCCGUAGGGAAACCAAGUCUUAACUGGGCGUCCAGUCAGGUGCGGUAGACGCGAAACCACGUGAUCUACUCAUGGCCAGGAUGAAGUGUGGGUAAUACUACAUGGAGGUCCGAACUCACUAGUGUUGAAAAACUAGGGGAUGAGCUGUGAGGAGGAUUGAAAGUAUCAUCAAACGUGGAGAUAGCUCGUUCUCUCCGAAAUAACUUUAGGGUUAGCGUUCGGGUAGUUGAUCAUGGGGGUAGAGCGACUGAAUUCGAUAGGAGGCCUACCCGGCUAUCCUUCGAAACCAAACUCCGAAUACCAUGAUACCCAGCCCGGGCAGCUAGACUGCGAGGGAUAAGCUUCGUAGUCGAGAGGGGAACAACCCAGAUCGCCCGCUAAGGUCCCAGAAUUGUGCUCAGUGCGAAAGGAAGUUGGAUUCCAGGGACAGCCAGGAUGUUGGCUUAGAAGCAGCCACCAUUUAAAAAGUGCGUAAUAGCUUACUGGUCGAGGAGUCCUGCGCCGAUAAUGAACGGGACUAAGCACAAUACCGAAGCGGCGGGUCCGUAAGGACGGUAGGAGAGCGUUGCAUUCCGGGGUGAAGGUGGACGGAUAACGAUCACUGGACCGAAUGCAAGUGACUAUGCCGGAACGAGUAACGAUAAAACGGGUGAGAAUCCCGUUCGCCGAAAACCUAAGGUUUCCUGGGGAAGGUAAAUCCGCCCAGGGUUAGUCGGACCCUAAGUCGAGGCCGAAAGGCGUAGACGAUGGACAUACGGUUAAUAUUCCGUGACCGCGUAUCAGGUUGAAGGAAUGGGGACGCUGGCUUGCGAAUCGGUAGGUCUGAUAGACGACCUCAGGGCGCUUAUGAUCCCAAUACGAUUCAACGGACAGCCAAGAAAAGCCAUCUCCGGACGAAAUACGUGCCCGUACUAAAACUGACACAGGUAGGUAGGAUGAGUAUUCUAAGGCGCUCGAGAGAACUCUGGUGAAGGAACUCUGCAAAUUGGCCCCGUAACUUCGGGAUAAGGGGCGCCUCCUCCUUCGGGAGAGGCCGCAGUGAAAAGGUUCUAGCGACUGUUUACUAAAAACACAGGACUCUGCGAACUCGUAAGAGGAUGUAUAGAGUCUGACGCCUGCCCGGUGCCGGUAAGUUAAGGAAGAGGGUUAGCGAAAGCGAAGCUCGCAACCGAAGCUCCGGUAAACGGCGGCCGUAACUAUGACGGUCCUAAGGUAGCGAAGUUCCUUGUCGGGUAAGUUCCGACCUGCAUGAAUGGCGUAACGACUGGAACACUGUCUCCACCAGAGACUCGGUGAAACUGUAGUUGUCGUGAAGAUGCGACAUACCCGUAGUUAGACGGAAAGACCCCGUGAACCUUAACUGUAGGAUAGUAUUGGGUUUAGACCCAACAUGCGUAGUGUAGCUGGGAGACUGUGAUCGGGAUAUCUCGGUAUACCGUAAGUCGUCGAUGAAACACCAGCCUUGUUGUGUUUGAAUUCUAACUCGUACUCACAUACGUGGACAGUGCUAUCUGGGCAGUUUGAUUGGGGCGAUCUCCUCCUAAAGAGUAACGGAGGAGCCCAAAGGUAUCCUCAGCCCGGUUGGCAAUCGGGCAUCGAGCGUAAAGGUACAAGGAUGCUUGACUGCGAGCGUGAUAGCGCGAGCAGGGACGAAAGUCGGGCUUAAUGAUCCGGUGGUUCCGUAUGGAAGGGCCAUCGCUCAACAGAUAAAAGGUACUCCGGGGAUAACAGGCUUAUCUCCUCUGAGCGUUCAUAGCGGCGAGGAGGUUUGGCACCUCGAUGUCGGCUCAUCGCAUCCUGGGGGUGAAGAAGCUCCCAAGGGUUUGGCUGUUCGCCAAUGAAAGCGGUACGUGAGCUGGGUUUAGACCGUCGUGAGACAGGUCGGUCCCUAUCUGCUACGGGCGUAGGAAACUUGAGAGGCUUUCUCCCUAGUACGAGAGGACUGGGAGGGACGCACCGCUGGUGGUCCAGUUAUGGCGCUAGCCGUACAGCUGGGUAGCUACGUGCGGAAUGGAUAAACGCUGAAAGCAUAUAAGCGUGAAACUUCCCCCAAGAUAAGGUUUCCUUCGAAAGUGAAGGCUCCUGGAAGACGACCAGGUCGAUAGGUUGGGUGUGUAACGGAUGAAAGUCCCUAAGCUGACCAAUACUAACAGCCGAACGCUUGGCCAU